ACGCGUUAAGCGAUCCGCCUGGGUAGUACGAUCGCAAGAUUAAAACUCAAAGGAAUAGACGGGGACUUGCACAAGCGGUGGAUCAUGCGGCUCAAUUCGAUGAUAAACGAAAAACCUCACCAGGGUUUGAAACUCAACUGACCGCCUUAGGAAACUUUGGCUUUCGCAAGACAGUUGGGCAGGUGAUGCAUGGUCGUCGUCAGUUCGUGGCUUGAGUUGUUCCCUUCAGUGGGGUAACGAACGCAACCCUCGUUGCCUGUUUUAUAUGUCAGGCGAGACUGCCCCCUCACGGGGGAGGAAGGUGAGGAUGACGCCAGAUCAGCAUGUCCCUCUGAUAUCCUGGGCUGCACGCAUGAUACAAUGGCACCGACAACAGGUUGCGACGGAGUAAUCCUGAGCUAAUCCUUAUAAACGGUGCCCCAGUUCGGAUUGAGGUCUGCAACUCGACCUCAUGAAGCCGGAAUCGCUAGUAAUCGCAGGUCAGCUAUACUGCGGUGAAUACGUUCUCAAGUCUUGUACUCACCGCCCGUCAACUCAAGGGAGCCGGGAAUACCCGAAUUUCACUUAUGGUGGAACACGGUAAGCUCGGUGACAGGGAGUAAGUCGUAACAAGGCACGGGUAGCGGAAGCUGCUCGUGGA
rnacentral:rRNA from 1 species